rnacentral:lncRNA from 1 species
ACGAAGAAUAAUGGUAUGAUUUAAGGGACCUAAGUAAAUAGCAUAUCCCAGUAAUAUAAUCAGUAUUGUGAGCCACCUAACUCUCUCAUUCAAAGCCAAGGUGUGGAGAUUCUUAAGAUCAAAGAUAAGUGGUCGGAAUUUCUUAAGAGGGCCGACCAUGUGGGCAAGGGCUUUGUUGUUCAGACUUCGACCCUUCCCCAGAGCCUGAAGAUUUUCUUUAGAAAACAAAGUCAAUGCCACGACUGGACCUUUCAACACCACACCCAAAUGCUGCAACAGAUGAUAUCACUUUCCAGGGUAAACACAAGCAGUGUAUUCUGAGGCCACUGGCCCGACUUCCCAGGUUGACUCAUCCUGCCUUCCAGCCUUGAAGGGCAAUAUCCUUACCAACAUGUGAUCUGAAGGAGCUCUGAACCCUCCAGUGAGACAUCAGCCCAUCAGACUCACAGAGAACAGCAGGAAGGCCAAAGACUCAAGAUUUAUCUAUCCUUGAAUUAUUCAGUGAUGCUGAUUACAACAGGCCUCCGUUAUACGAAGGGAAAACAUCCCAGACCCCCCAGUGAAUGCCUGAAACUGGAUUCUACUGAACCCUGAGAUGGUACUAAGUGACUAACGGGUGAAUAGCGUGUACAGCAUGGAUACACUAGACAAAGGGAGGAUUCGCAUCCCGGGCUGGUCAGCAAGAGGUUUCAUCACCCCACUCAAAAUGGCAGGACCGUAUGAACCUGAAUCCAGAGAAACGGCUCAUCAGUCUCCAAUCCUCUGAUUUUCUAAACCAGGACUACAUUAUAUUAAAACCAGAAAAAGCAAUACCUCUUUUCACAGAAUGGACUUUCUGGUGGAAAUGGGAGGAACCAAAAGAAGGCUGACUUCUUCAUUUUGACACCCUGCCCUGACUGCAGAACGUGAUUUCCCUAAAAGACUGAAUGUUAACCUCAAAGCCUGGUCAACCAACAUGCAGGAGAAAUCUUGACCAAGGCUCUGAGCAUGCUGUGGUCCCAGUGGUGAGGGUGUGAUAUGCACUGUCUGUUCCUGGAGUCACAGUGCUCAUCUUGUGGUAAAGACCUCUUGGAAGAAUGUCUUCAAAGGCACAUCUCCAGCUGGGAGUCCUUGUUUCCUGAUUUUUUUUUUUAAGUUUAUGUUAUAUGAACAAAUGAGACUGCUUUCCCGGCAGGAGUAGCCCUCAGACGCCCACUGUGAGCCUACUUUCUGGAAGAAGCCAACUCAGACAGACCACAGUGUGUGCACAGCAUACGUGGCUGCUGGCUGUGGAUGAGAAAGUAUUCCUGAUCUGUCAGAAUAAUGAUUUCAGCGUGUUCUCAGCAGGUCCUCAGUGUGAUCCCAUGAGGAUACCCUCAACCCCUUGCAUGACAUGUUGUACUUGGAGUCCUUCCCCAUUUCAAUUUCAGCAUCAGUGGGAGGGAAAUAGCAAAACAGCAUUCCUUCAUGUAGAUAACCAGUAGGCAGCAGGCUACUCCUGGUUCGUAACAUAACUCCACCAGUGUAUUCUGGCAGCCGGGCUUACUUAAGGGAGAGCACAGACAUUCCCUGCUCAAAAACAAAACUGCUAAACGUGACUCCGGUAGCCUCCAUGCUCUCUGCAAGAAUAAAAUCCUUGAAGAAAAA